AUAGCGGUGGUCAUCAUCAUUGCAUUUGUUAUACAUUCUGAGAUAUCUCACCAUGGAAAAUUUCCUCCUGAACAGUGCCCCAGCGAGUGGAUAGGUUACAAAAAUAAAUGUUAUUUCAUCUCAGAGGAGGAAAAAAACUGGACAUCUAGUCAGACCUUCUGCGCUGAGAAUGAAUCCUUGCUAGCCAUUUUUGAAAACCAGGAAGAAAUGCGUUCUUUAACUAAGCAUUUGAAAAUAGAUGACUCCUGGAUUGGAUUGCGCAAGAAAGGUGAAAGCUUCUACUGGGAGAAUGGUAUUGCCUUGAAGGUGGACUUGUUCCAGAUUCGGAAUCACUCUGAGUGUGCUUACUUGGAUGCCUUCACUAUUUCUACCUCAGCAUGCUCUUUGCCCAGGCGCUGCAUCUGUGUCAGACUUCCCUGAAGCGAGGACUUCAAUCUUCAUUUGAUAUGGGCAGUUAAAACACAUCCAUUGUACAGUCACUUCAGAUUGUGCAGCCACACUGUGUCAGACCAUCUGGAAGCCUAAAUCUGAGAGAAGAGCAUUUGUCUUGUCUUCCAAAAUGUAUUUCUAGGUCUUCUCUCCUAGGACAGAAGAGGAAUGCGUUUAGUCCAGUUUACAGAUAACCUACAAUGGAGUCUACCAGUGUUGGCUGACAAAGCUGAAGGUUCAAUGGGAUUCCUGCCAGUCUCUUCUGUGUUCUGCUGCUUCUCAGCAUGUGACCUUGGGGAUACACAGCAGCCAGGGACAACAGUCAGCCAGCACACCUACAGAAACAGUCCAAUGAGGCCUCUUCAGUUUCUCCAAAAAUGCCGUGUGCUCUUUGCUGAACUUGGUACUGACUGGCUAUUUCAGAACAACAAUCUGCCGGU